AAAUAAAAAUUUGCGCCCCCACAAAAUAAAAAAAUAAAUUUUUUUUAUGUAACCUUAAAUAUUUUUUGGUGUUAAUGACACCGGUGUGAUUAUAAUUUUGAUAUACUUUCUAGUUUUUUAUAAAAGAUAAAAUUAUUAUAGUCAAUUUCGUAAAAUUUGGUUUGCGCAACAAUACAAUGCGAGAUGUGAACUCAAUAAUUUUACUAAAUUAUAAUUUAUAAUAUUUAUGCAACAACAAAUAUAUUCAAUUUUAAAUCACACCAUCGUCUUAAGCACAUAAAUAUACUUCGGAUUAUGAAAAAAAAAUUCUGAAAUACAAUUUUAAGUUAUUAAUAUCAUUGUGUAAAUCAAACUACUUUUACGCGUAAAACAUAGGCGGCUACUCGGUCGUCGGCACUAUGACGUCACGCGGCUAUCCAUCUACUCAUUAUACUCUCAUUAUUUUGUUAAAUAAUCAUUUUUUUAACUUCGGAUUUUAAUCAAAACAUUUUUCAUUGUGUUAACUACAAUAAUACACCAAUAAACUUAAAAUUAAAAAAAAAAAUAGUGUUUUGAUGUCCUUUUAAUCCAAAAGUACGCAAAUUUGUGCGAAUAAAAUAAUAAUGAAAAAAUAAUGGGAAAAAUGAUACAAUAUUAAUGCUAACAAUUUUUCAUAAUCGUUAAAUUUUAAAUAAAUUUAUUAGAAUAUUUACCUAAUUACCAUGUUCUAUUUCAGGCUUCACUGUUUAAGAGCGUAGAUUAGGUAGGUAUAACUCCGUAAUGCGCGUUGUCAUUCAAUCGAAUGUCUAUUGUAAAAUAACCGAAUAAUUAUUAUUGUAAUUUGUAAUAUAAUAAUACGAUUGUGUGUGUGUAUAUUGUAUAGCUUAUUUCAAUAUUUUAAUAUAAUCUUUUAAAAUAUUAUUUUGGUCGAUUUAAAACUGAUAACCAUUUUAUAUACAUAAUAUAUCAUAGUUGUUCUAUUUUUAUAAUUGUCGGCCAUGGGAAACGUUUACAUUAUUAUAAAUAAAAUAUAAUAUUCCUUUUACGAUAACAUUCAAUAACAGCCAUCGUCGAUCGUCGUGUAUGAAAAUUAAUUUCUGUAGUAAAUUUGUUGCUUAAUUAUAAAAAUUAAGUGUUAAAUAUAUAGCACAAUUAAUGAAUUAACACAGUAUUAAUCAACCCGCAUCUAAUAACAGAUAUUAAUAUAUUAAAAUAUUUUGGCUUAAAUUUUCAAAUUAAAAUUUCAUGAUAUCAAAUUUUGGGCCCCCAUUCCUACUCGAUAUUUUGCGCCCCUGGCAGACGCCCACCUUGCCAGGCCCUAGGCCCGGCCCUGGAUAAAUAUGAUGGUGGCGCUGGAGUCAGCAGCGGCAGGCGGACUAUGUACCACAGAGACCUCAGGCGGCGGUGGUGCGCGGCAGCUCAGGAUUCAUGUCUGCUAUUAAAUGUGCGUCAUGUGCUGGCGACUAAAUGGACAAACACACACAAUUCAGUCUGUUUCGAGACAUUGAUUGCGCUCUACUCGUCUUCUACAUUUACUCAGUUUUUCUCUCUACCUUAUUCAGUUUAUUUCAAACCAAGUUUACGAAAACGAAGAAGAUAGUGAUGACGAAAACUUCAUCCCUGAUGUUAAUAAUUCAGCUGAUUAUGGCGAAACCAUUGAAGAUGAGAUAGAUGGUAUAUGGGACAUGCUAAAUUCUAUGGAGGCCGAUCUAAAUUACUGCUCACAGCUAAAUCACAGUGACCGUAAUACAAAGGUUACAGAAAAAUGGCAAGAAAUCAUGCGACAUUUCCAAUUUAUGAAUUUCGAACAGACAGUAGGUCUCAUCCUGUUUCGUGGAUCAAAUUAUAUAGAAUAUGUGGAUUGUGAUAUUAAUGGUGACCUCGGGAGGAUUUUAAAAGCUGAAAAUGUUGAGUACUUAACAGCAGCAUCUUCAGAGGAAGAUGUAUUAGACGUAUUGAUGGGUUACACUCAAGCUGAAGUUUUACUUCAGCUUAAAUUGAAAACGAAUUUUUAGCCCGGGAUGAAGAGGAGAUACAAGAGUUUCAUAGCAAAAUUCAGAUGAUAACCUCUGUAUGGGGAUUAUCCGAUGUGGUUUCAAAAGCUAUAAUAAGAAAUUUGUUUAAC